rnacentral:rRNA from 1 species
AAGCAACGCGAAGAACCUUACCAAAUCUUGACAUCCUUUGACAACUCUAGAGAUAGAGCCUUCCCCUUCGGGGGACAAAGUGACAGGUGGUGCAUGGUUGUCGUCAGCUCGUGUCGUGAGAUGUUGGGUUAAGUCCCGCAACGAGCGCAACCCUUAAGCUUAGUUGCCAUCAUUAAGUUGGGCACUCUAAGUUGACUGCCGGUGACAAACCGGAGGAAGGUGGGGAUGACGUCAAAUCAUCAUGCCCCUUAUGAUUUGGGCUACACACGUGCUACAAUGGACAAUACAAAGGGCAGCGAAACCGUGAGGUCAAGCAAAUCCCAUAAAGUUGUUCUCAGUUCGGAUUGUAGUCUGCAACUCGACUAC